CCUACGGGAGGCAGCAGUGAGGAAUAUUGCACAAUGGGGGAAACCCUGAUGCAGCGACGCCGCGUGAGCGAUGAAGUAUUUCUGUAUGUAAAGCUCUAUCAGCAGGGAAGAAAAUGACGGUACCUAACUAAGAAGCCCCUGCCAACUACGUGCCAGCAGCCGCGGUAUUACGUAGGGGCCACGCGUUAUCCGGAUUUACUGGGUGAAACGGGAGCGUAGACGGCUUGGCAAGACAGAUGUGAAAGGCUGGGGCUCAACCCGAGGACUGCAUUUGGAACUGGCAGGCUAGAGUGUCGGAGAGGCAGGCGGAAUUCCUGGUGUAGCGGUGAAAUGCGUAGAUAUUAGGAGGAACACCAGUGGCGAAGGCGGCCUGCUGGACGAUGACUGACGUUGAGGCUCGAAAGCGUGGGGAGCAAACAGGAUUAGAUACCCCUGUAGUC
rnacentral:rRNA from 1 species